ACCCAAACAUUCAUAAUGUAAAACGGCCAAUCACAUAGCUCAAUUAUCGAGGCAUUUCGUUCAUAAUCACCCUUUUCUUAAUCAAUCACAUUAACUAAGAAAGCAACUUAAACAAUUGGUUUUCGGAUUCAUAGAAUUGAUUUAAAUGGAACUAAAUGAAAUGAAAAUCCAAUUCUCAUUAAAGAGACAAAACCAUUUUGUUCUCAUCUUAUUUGGGCCAAAAAACAAUGACCUCAACAAUUGGGCCAUUAUUCAAUAAACAUAAACUUUUGGGGUCACUUUGUAAAAAAACAAGAGUCCACAACUUCAUGUAAUUACAACUAGAACCCAAAAUUUUAACAAUAAUAAAAACAUCAUUAAAGGAGCAAAACAAUUUGUCCUUUAGAGUUUUUGGGCCUUAACGUAAAAAACGCAAACUUUUGGGGCAGAGUGCAAAUACACAAAAGUAUCAAAACUUUAUGUAAUUGCAUGAAAGCCCCAAAAAUACCCCCACUAAGGGGUGGCCGGUUUUGGAAGUGAAAAGGGAAGGGGGAGGCUUUGGUGAAAAAUUCAAAGUUUGAAAGUGUUUUAUGCAAGUGGAUAGGUAAGUGAGGAUAAAGGUGAUGGGUAUAGGUUGUAAGAAAAUGUUUUGUGAAACAUUAAUGGCAUUUAUCAUCCCUCACCAAUAAUCCAUCAUCCAUCAAAAAUAAACCAAAACUUUAUGAAAACACCAAACAUUUUUGAAUCAAAACUCCAAACCCUUUUGUUCUUGGUAAGAAACUCAAGAACAUUGAAGAACAUACAUGAAAACUCAUAAGAGCUCCAUGAAUGUUUUCACACAAUAAAACUCAAUUUUUCACUACACAAAAGAGGGUUAACAUCCUAGGGUACUUAGGGGUUCCAAAAGUCACUUUAAAACUCUUUUAACAAGACAAACAUGAACCCAAAAAUCCACCCUAUGGAUUUGGCCGAAUUUCCUAACAUACAUGUGUUGGAAAUGUGCCCUAAAGCCAAUCAUGUGAUGAUACUUUACGGACAUUUCACAUGUUAAAC
rnacentral:lncRNA from 1 species